rnacentral:rRNA from 1 species
AGAGUUUGAUCAUGGCUCAGGAUGAACGCUAGCUACAGGCUUAACACAUGCAAGUCGAGGGGCAGCGGGGUUGAAGCUUGCUUCAACCGCCGGCGACCGGCGCACGGGUGAGUAACACGUAUCCAACCUGCCGAUAACUCCGGGAUAGCCUUUCGAAAGAAAGAUUAAUACCGGAUGGCAUAGUUUUCCCGCAUGGAAUAACUAUUAAAGAAUUUCGGUUAUCGAUGGGGAUGCGUUCCAUUAGGCAGUUGGCGGGGUAACGGCCCACCAAACCAACGAUGGAUAGGGGUUCUGAGAGGAAGGUCCCCCACAUUGGAACUGAGACACGGUCCAAACUCCUACGGGAGGCAGCAGUGAGGAAUAUUGGUCAAUGGACGAGAGUCUGAACCAGCCAAGUAGCGUGAAGGAUGACUGCCCUAUGGGUUGUAAACUUCUUUUAUACGGGAAUAAAGUUAGCCACGUGUGGUUUUUUGCAUGUACCGUAUGAAUAAGGAUCGGCUAACUCCGUGCCAGCCGCCGCGGUAAUAC